AUGUGGGAAACGUUCGGUGGAGGAACCAGACUGGAUGUUGGAAGUGAUGUCCGUCCCACCCUGACGGUGCUGCCCCCCUCCAGUGAGGAGCUGCAGCAGGGGAAGGCCACGCUCAUGUGCCUGGCCAACAAGGGCUUCCCCUCAGACUGGAGUCUGGCCUGGAAGGUGGACGGCAGCAGCAGCAGCAGCAGCUGGGAGGAGAGCAGGAGCCCCGGGGUGCUGGAGAAGGACGGCCGCUACAGCUGGAGCAGCACCCUGAGGCUCCCUGCAGACCAGUGGAGGAAGGUGGGCUCUGUGACCUGUGAGGCCACCCAGGGCUCCCAGGCUCUGGUCUCAGAGACACUGAGGAGAGACCAGUGUUCCCAGUCCUGACCUGACUCACUGGGACUCUGCUACUGGUUUUACUCUGCUCUCUGAACUCUGUAACUCUCUCUGUGUCUGUGUCUCUUUCUUUCCUUAAGUCAUUCUCUAAUCACAUGUUUCAUGGUUAAAGUUUGUUUACUGGAUUUAAUUUGGAUUAUUUCAACACAAUAAAGACCAGUUCAUUCAAAUCUGUUGUUUUCUGUUAUAGUGACUGUACUCUGUUACUCAUAUCAGAUCAUAUUAACAAUAUUCAACUUUAAGUAGUGAAGCUUCAUUGAUGUAAUAAUGCUCAUGCUGUUAACACUGUAAGAAAAUAAAAAAAGUUAUUUCAAAUUAAA